rnacentral:rRNA from 1 species
GAUGAACGCUGGCGGCGUGCCUAAUACAUGCAAGUCGAGCGAACAGACGAGGAGCUUGCUCCUCUGACGUUAGCGGCGGACGGGUGAGUAACACGUGGAUAACCUACCUAUAAGACUGGGAUAACUUCGGGAAACCGGAGCUAAUACCGGAUAAUAUAUUGAACCGCAUGGUUCAAUAGUGAAAGACGGUUUUGCUGUCACUUAUAGAUGGAUCCGCGCCGCGUUAGCUAGUUGGUAAGGUAACGGGUUACCAAGGCAACGAUGCGUAGCCGACCUGAGAGGGUGAUCGGCCACACUGGAACUGAGACACGGUCCAGACUCCUACGGGAGGCAGCAGUAGGGAAUCUUCCGCAAUGGGCGAAAGCCUGACGGAGCAACGCCGCGUGAGUGAUGAAGGUCUUCGGAUCGUAAAACUCUGUUAUUAGGGAAGAACAAAUGUGUAAGUAACUAUGCACGUCUUGACGGUACCUAAUCAGAAAGCCACAGCUAACUACGUG